CGUAGUGUGCCUGGUAAAAAAGGACUAUUUUGAUAGAAUAGAACAUACAGGCCCCCCCCCUGUCUCUACGA
rnacentral:tRNA from 1 species